GGGGACCUGAGCCAUCACCCAGGCCAGGACAGAGGGGUCCAUCCCUGGCUCACUGUGGGACCCCAGAUGGGGACCCCAUACCCCUCUGAGCAUCACAUUCCCCAGUGGAAACAUGGGGGUGUCAAAUUUCAAGCUUCUAAACCACCCAUUUCCAGCAAGUUCUACUUCAGAUCCAACUGACAUCUUUCCUCUACUUUAUCUUCUAAGAGAGUGGGCCGGUCCCCCAGGCUGCGGUAGAUGACAGCAUCGAUGGCUAGGAAGUCGGUCACCGUGGCGGUGAAGAGCAUCCCUUCUGGAUGGGCGUGAGUUGGGGGGAAGCAGUUGCCAUCCUAAGUGCUGUGAGGUGAUGCCCUGUGCAUUUUAUUCCACGUUCUAUCAGAAUAAUAUUUAACUUAAGAAACUUCCAGAGAUGCCCAGGUGGCUCAGCGGUUAAGAGUCUGCCUUCGGCCCAGAUCGUGAUCCCAGAGUCCCAGGAUCGAAUCCCACAUCGGGCUCCCCGCAGGGAGCCUGCUUCUCCCUCUACCUGUGUCUCUGCCUCUCCUCUCCCUGUCUC